UUGUUGAGUUGGAAUUGCAAGUGGGGUGGGAGCAGGGGUAGGGGAUUGGGCUGGGGCUUUGACUCUACGUGUGUGGGUGUCUGUCUGUUGCAGGUAGCUCUGCUGGUGGCUGCCGAAUUCUGGGAACAAGGCGACCUGGAGCGCACGGUGCUGCAACAGAAUCCCAUUGUGAGUAGAGAGGGGAUGUCAGCCUGAUGUUAGGCGUGUGUGCUCCAUCCUGACCUAGAUAUGACCUUGCCGUGAUGGAGAGAUGUGUGACUUUACCAUAAAGAUGACCUUUUCCUAAUGCAGUGGUUCUAAAAAUGUGGUCUCCAGGCCACUGUCAACCUCAUUACUUGAGAACAUGUUAGGGAUGUAUAUUCACAAGCCUCACCCUAGGUCUACCCAACCAGAAGCUCUGAGGGUGGGCCCCUGCAAUGAGCGCUCUAACUAGUAAGCUCUCCUAAAGUUUGGGAAAUGUGUCCUUAGCUCACUCAACUCCAGAGGUUGGCAAGUGGACUCCAACACUUAGAUUGCCCUUUCAAUUUCAAAGGUCUAGAAGUCCAUCCACCUCCCCUGACCCUAAUCUAACAGCAAAGAGUGAGCAAGUUGUGCACCUAUCAACAUUGAAAGUUAACUUGGCUGAGACAGUCAGCCAGCUUCCCAUGGAGAUGCAGAGUUGGGGAGAUGGGGAGAGCAGCCCGAAGUUUCCCUGAAGUCCCUGAAGGCAAAGCUGGGAAGUAAAGCAGGGUUUGGAAAGGAUGGGUAAAAGAGAGAGACACUUUGGGGACAAACCAUUGACACCUGGAUAGGCUAAACCUGUGAGAGUGUGCUAAGGAUGCAGAGGCCACCACGGCAGGCUUAGGCAGGAGCCGAGGGAGAGUAGAAGGCUGGGAGGAGCAGGUCCUGUUGUGAAGAAACACGUGAAGGGCCCCAUGGGCUUUGUCGUUCUCACUCUCUCUUUGUAAUAUUUUCAAAUAUAUUGAGAAUAGUCAGUGAACUCUAGUGCCCAUCAGCUAGAGCCAACAAUUAGCAGCAGUCUGCCAUUCUUGUUGUAUCUAUUCCUUCCAGUGCAUUUUUUUGCUUUUGGUUGCAGUAUUUUAAAGUAAAUCUCAGACACUAUAAUCUCUUCCAUAAAUACUUUAGUACGUAUCUCUAUGAGACAAGAGCUUGAUAUGGACAAAAUCAUAAACACAACCAUAAUACCAUUAACACACUCACAAAAUUCAUAUACUUCAGUAUCAUCUAAUCCCCAAUUUCUGUUCAUUUUUCUUGAUUAAGAAAGAUAAUUCAGUUGAUUUGUUCAAAUCAGGAUCUAAUCAAGGAGCAUACUGCCUCUGGUUUUAAUGUCUCUUAAGUCUCUUUUAAUCUGUAGCAGGCCCUGCCAUCCCUCCCACCCUCUGGCCUUUUUCUGGUAUGCCAUUUAUUUGCUGAAGACAGUGUGUCUUUUUUUUGUGCAGUUUCCCACAUUCUGGAUUUGGUUGGUUGCACCCUCAUGGUGUUCUUUAACAUGUUUCUCUAUUCUCCUAUUUCCUGCAAAAUGCUCAUCAGGUCUGGAAACAUGAUGAGUUUACAGUUUGAUUUUAGUAAGAAUGCUUCAUAGAUAGGGUGGGUUUCUCUUACUGUCCAGUGCAAUUAACUCUUUCUCCCCCAUGACAGCCCAUGAUGGACAGAAACAAAGCAGAUGAACUCCCUAAGCUUCAAGUCGGCUUCAUUGACUUUGUUUGCACCUUCGUCUACAAGGAAUUCUCCCGUUUCCACGAGGAGAUCACCCCAAUGUUGGAUGGGAUCACCAACAAUCGCAAGGAGUGGAAGGCGCUUGCUGAUGAGUACGAUGCCAAGAUGAAGGUGCAGGAGGAGAAGAAGCAGAAACAGCAGUCGGCCAAGUCAGCAGCCGCAGGAAAUCAGCUAGGGGGAAACGCCAGCCCAGGGGGUGCAACUACAUCCAAGUCCUGCUGCAUCCAGUAACACCACUGGGGAUCUGCUGGCUGGACGGCACCACCCUUUCCUGGGAAGAGAUGACUCAAGCCAGUGGAAGACCACACACCUUGAGAAGUAAAAGAGUCAUAGGAUUUGAAAGCUGUUAGAGAAUUUAGCUUCCAGGACUGUUCAAUCUUUUGGCUUCCCUGGACCACAUUGGAAGAAGAAUUGUCUUGGGUCACACGUAAAAUACAGUAACACUAAUGAUAGCUGUUGAAUUAAAAAAAAAAA
rnacentral:sRNA from 1 species